rnacentral:rRNA from 1 species
CCUACGGGUGGCAGCAGUGAGGAAUAUUGGUCAAUGGACGAGAGUCUGAACCAGCCAAGUAGCGUGAAGGAUGACUGCCCUAUGGGUUGUAAACUUCUUUUAUAAAGGAAUAAAACGAGGCACGUGUGCCUUUUUGCAUGUACUUUAUGAAUAAGGAUCGGCUAACUCCGUGCCAGCAGCCGCGGUAAUACGGAGGAUCCGAGCGUUAUCCGGAUUUAUUGGGUUUAAAGGGAGCGUAGAUGGGUUGUUAAGUCAGUUGUGAAAGUUUGCGGCUCAACCGUAAAAUUGCAAUUGAUACUGGCAGUCGUGAGUACAGUUGAGGUAGGCGGAAUUCGUGGUGUAGCGGUGAAAUGCUUAGAUAUCACGAAGAACCCCGAUUGCGAAGGCAGCUUACUAGACUGUGACUGACAUUGAGGCUCGAAAGUGUGGGUAUCAAACAGGAUUAGAUACCCCGGUAGUC